AUGAUAAUCUAUCUUAAAAGCAUUUUUAUUUAAUAAAAUACAGAGUCAGCUCAAGCAAGCACAUGCAAUGAGAGACAAAAGGAUUGGUGUUAUUUAAAACUUGAGCACAGGAAGAUCUGAAGAGGAUACUGAGUGAAAUUCAAUCCAGUAAAGUUGAUACAUUCUUGGCAGCUAUUUAAGAUCCUCCAGGUUGAAUGCUAUGAGAAGGGUGAUGGAUCAUUUCUAAGCUUCCAGAAACCUCAGCUCAGAUCUUCAGACUGAAUCUGGAAAAAUGAUUACCUGAAUGUCCUCCAAAACAACACAGGGCCUCUGCUGAAAUUCUUUUCUUUUAUUAUUUAUAGAUGGGAAACAAUAUCUGCUAGUAUCAAAAUGUAAAUCAGUUUAUAACCAUACAGAGUUGGAGGACAAACACGACUGCAAGACAUCACCAUUUACAGAAGGAGGCUACUGUCAUCAUUUGGAGAGUAUAACAGAAAAUGCAUCCCAAAUAGAGACAGAAUGGCUUUUCGGCCUGGCAGAGCCCUGGCUCACACUGUUUCAGUGGCGAACAUCCAGGGUGAUAAUCCCUGCAAGCAAUCGCUUAGCUGGUGCUGAUCCUCCAGCAGGCUGUUGGAGCAAAGGUUAUCAGGUAAGUGAGGAACUCCAGUGA
rnacentral:lncRNA from 1 species